CAGAGCAGGGAAGUGGUCGCUCGGCUUUGAUUUUUAAUCAUAGCCGAGAGGAAAGUCCGAACUCCGCAGGGCAAGGCGCUCCGUAAUACGGAGUGGGGGAAACCCUAAGGAAAGUGCCACAGAAAGGGAAACCGUCCCGACUUUGUCGGAAUAAGGGUGAAAAGGUGAGGUAAGAGCUCACCAGUUGGGGUGGUAACACCUCAAGCUUGGUAAACCCCGCCUGGAGCAAGGUCAAAUAGGUUCCGCCUUGAGAAGGGCCCCUUCGAAUCCUGACCUGCAUAAUGGAAUCAGGGAGGCGGAACGGGUAAGGACUGCAAGAGUCUGAUGGCAACAUAAGACCUUAGAUGAAUGACCACACAUAUACAGAACUCGGCUUACAGCCUGCUCUGACUU
rnacentral:RNase_P_RNA from 1 species